ACUGCUCAGUAACACGUAGCUAACCUACCCUUAAGUCAGAAAUAACCUCGGGAAACUGAGGGUGAAAUCUGAUAAGAGACAUACCCUGGAAUGAUUUGUCUCCUAAAUUCGUGCUUAAGGAUGGGGCUGCGGCGGAUUAGGUUGUUGGCGGGGUAAUAGCCCACCAAGCCGAAGAUCCGUAAGGGCUCUUAGCGGAGAGGCCCUGAGAGGGAAUCUGAGACACUAUUCCCAGCCCUACGGGGUGCAGCAGUUAGGCAUAAUCUACAAUGCGCGUAAGCGUGAUAGUUUGAGCCAGAGUGUUUUACAAUCGUAAAACUUUUGCCAAAUCUAAAAAUUUUGGCGAAUAAGGACUGGGUAAGACGAGUGCCAGCCGCCGCGGUAAUACUCGCGGUCCAAGUCGCAGCCAUUUUUAUUGGGUCUAAAACAUCCGUAGCUUGCUUGGUGAGUUUCUUGUGAAAUUUUAUAUCUUAAAUAUAAAGCGAGCAAGAGGUACUACUAGGCUAGAGACUGGGAGACGUAAGAAGUACGCGACGGGUAACGGUCAAAUGUGUUAAUCCGUCGUGGACUAACGAUGAGCGAAGGCAUCUUACGAGGACGAAUCUGACAGUGAGGGAUGAAGGCCAGGGGCGCAAAACGGAUUAGAUACCCGUGUAGUCCUGGCAGUAAACACUGCUCACUAAACAUCGGGCCCUCUUCGGGAGGAUUCGGUGCUGAAGGGAAGCCGAAGAGUGAGCUACCUGGGAAGUAUAGUCGCAAGGCUGAAACUUAAAGGAAUUGGCGGGGGAGCAC
rnacentral:rRNA from 1 species